rnacentral:pre_miRNA from 1 species
AAGUAGUGUAACAUACCCGUUUGGGAUAUACUCUGAUUUAUGUUUAUUUAUUAUUUAAUUGCUUCAGGAUAACGGGGUGUUACACUAUU